rnacentral:lncRNA from 1 species
UCCCCUCCAAUAUGGAUGGGCUCAACUUGUAAUUAGCUUUGGACCAGCAGGAUGUCAUGGAAAUGAUGCUUGUGACUUCCAAAACUAAGUCGUAAAAAGCCUUGCAACUUCUGCCAGGGUCUCUUGGAUCACACACUCUGGAGGAAGCCAGGCUAUGUGAGAAGCCCAACUACUCCGCCUCCACCAUGCUGUGAGGAAGUCUCCAUAGCAAGGCCCCAUGGAGAGUGCUGCCUGGCUAGACGCUAGCCCUCCCAGCCAUCCCAGCUAGGGCACCAGACACGUGAGUGACAAGCCAUGUGGGAAGACCUGCCCAGGUAAGGCUCAGGACUCCAGCUUCAGCCACAGUCUAACUGCAAACAAGUGAAAACCACUCAGCUGAGCCCAGUCAGUCCAUGAAAGAGCAAUAAAUUGCUAAUGUAAGCCACUAAGUUUGGGGGUGGAGGUGGUGUUGUAAUGCAGUGAUAGGAAAUUAGAACAGAGGCCCUGGCACGAAAAGCAAGAGGUUUUCAAGGAGUUUCCUGCCCAACAGGCCAAUAGUUUUGAGCAGCGGUUUCUAAACUUAGCUAAGGAAUCCUUUGCCCACUGGAAAUCAUAAUUAGAUCUCUGAUAUGUCAAAGAAACAAAAGCACAGUGGCUCUCUUUUUGAAACAGUGGGAGGCCUGACCAAGCUCUCCUUUUGCCACGUGCCCCUGCAGCAGCCCCCGGGAAAUGAAUGAGCUCUCCACCUGAUCUCCCAGAUCUAACUCUCUCUCUCUCCCUCCCUAAAAAAAUCACAGCAGACUUUGUUCAUCCACACUCCCCUAAUCCAGGGAGAAUCCUGGCCACAGUGUGGAGUUGUGUCCCUAGCAGCCCUGAAAAGUUACAUACUCUGAGGACCUUCCCUUCUUCAGUAGGUAAGCAAGGCCCUGGGUGGCCCCAGUACCCACAUCCUCACUGAUGGGCAACACCCUGCCUUCCUUCUCCAAAGGACAAAGGGUCAUGGUUCAGCAAGCCCUCCUGGGAUGCUAAAAUAACUUUUCUGCCAAGAGACACUGUUAUCAGCCUUUGCUUCUGGCCCCUUUCUGGUGGAGAAGGAAACUAGUAUAUAUGAGGCCUGUUGUCCUA